CCGUCUCCGGGGCUUGUUUUCCGUUGCCUGCGUUUUGUUCCGGUGACUCAGGCAGCGAAAGCAAGUCUGGGAGGCUG
rnacentral:pre_miRNA from 1 species